CUCUUCGCCCCCGGCUCGGUCCUGCCCCGCGUCCCUGCAGUUCACAAAGGGUAAGAGGGCGCCAUUGGGGCUCUGUGGGGCGCCCCCGCUGAGGAUGUUGUCGGCCGCGCUCUCCAUCUCCUCUAUGGUCAUGUCGCAGGCGUCGGCCAGCUCCUGGGUGGUGACCUCGAUGAACUUGGGAUCUUGAGCAAACUGCCCCAGUCCUUCUGAAAUCAAGACCUGAAGGAGCGGGGUGGGAGCCAUGAAGAACCAAAGGAACAUUACUCCUGGAGCCCAGCUCUUCCCUUGAGGGCUAGAGCGAGGGGGUAUCUGGUCUCAUCCUGAGACGUCUCCUCCUGACCCGCCAUGGCUGCCUGGCUCUCCCGGGAGUGGCACCUACAAUAUCCAAGAUGAAGAAAAACAUCAGAAACUGCCAACCUUCCUCCACUUCCUUCAGCAAAGAGAAGCUUGUUUGGCUUGGUACUGGACUUGGGAUGAGAGCUCUUCCUUCUACGUUCCAAGAGAGAAGCUUCUUUGGCUUGGUACUGGACUUGGGAUGACAGCUCUGCUUCUCUGAGGGCCGUCCUGACCAGGGCAAACAGGGUGGCAUUGAACAUGACUGUCCCGUCGCUGUUCAGAGGCAUGUUCAUGGAGACCAGGCGCUGCAGGCGAAGAGAAGCAAAGCUGGUGAUGAUGGCAGGCGGUGCUUAGGGGACCGCAGAACACCGUGGCAGAGUGAUAUGGUUUGGCUCUGUGUCCUCGCCCAAAUCUCAUGUUGAAUUGUAAUCCCCAGAAUUGGAGGUGGGGCCUGAUGGAAGGUGAUUGCAUCAUGGGGUGGAUUUCUCAUAAAUGGUUUGGUACCAUCCCCUUGGUGAGUGAGUACUCAUGAGAUCUGCUUGUUUAAGUAAGUGUGUGGUCCCUCCCCCUUCUCUCUUGCUCCCUGUCUGUCCAUGUGACGUACCUGCCUCCCCUUUGCCUUCCACCAUGAUUGAUUGGAAGCUUCCUGAGGCCUCCCCAGAAGCAGAAUGCUAGUGCCAU
rnacentral:lncRNA from 1 species